AGCACACUAACAGUAAGUGGAGAUAUUAGUGUAUUACCUGUAUAUUUCAGAUGCUGAUGCUGCUACUACUGGAUCAAGUGAUGUGACUUACACACAGAUUCAACUCAAAAAGUUGGACAAGAAAAAGAAAAAAUUGACAGCUGAUCGAAAAGAAAAUCCAGUCUAUUCUGAGGUCAAGACAGGGAAGACCACAGGACCUGUUGAUGUGACCUAUGCUGAUGUUGACCUUAAACAGAAGGCCAAAGCCAAGAAGAAGAAAGAAACAUCAACCCCACCUGAGGCAGAUUCGGUCUAUUUUCCAUUGAAGCCAGUCACAGCACCAGGUCCUUGAGGGGGAAGGGAUAGAGGGUUAGAAGGAUGGAGGUAUAAAUGAUGGCUGAAUGGAAAUAUGGAGGGUUGGAGGGAUGGUGGUAUGGAGUGAUGG